rnacentral:rRNA from 1 species
UACGUAGGGUGCGAGCGUUGUCCGGAAUUAUUGGGCGUAAAGGGCUCGUAGGCGGUUUGUCGCGUCGGGAGUGAAAACACCGGGCUUAACUCGGUGCUUGCUUUCGAUACGGGCAGACUAGAGGCAUGCAGGGGAGAACGGAAUUCCUGGUGUAGCGGUGAAAUGCGCAGAUAUCAGGAGGAACACCCGGUGGCGAAGGCGGUUCUCUGGGCAUGUCCUGACGCUGAGGAGCGAAAGUGUGGGGAGCGAACAGG